rnacentral:tRNA from 1 species
GGAGAGGUGGCUGAGUGGCCUAAAGCGCCGGUUUGCUAAACCGGUGAGGGUGUAACAGCCCUCCACGGGUUCGAAUCCCGUCCUCUCCG